rnacentral:rRNA from 1 species
GUCCACACAGUAAACGAUGAAUACUCGCUGUUUGCGAUAUACAGUAAGCGGCCAAGCGAAAGCGUUAAGUAUUCCACCUGGGGAGUACGCCGGCAACGGUGAAACUCAAAGGAAUUGACGGGGGCCCGCACAAGCGGAGGAACAUGUGGUUUAAUUCGAUGAUACGCGAGGAACCUUACCCGGGCUUAAAUUGCAAAUGAAUGUUCUGGAAACAGAUCAGCCGCAAGGCAUUUGUGAAGGUGCUGCAUGGUUGUCGU